rnacentral:rRNA from 1 species
UGAUGCAGCCAUGCCGCGUGUGUGAAGAAGGCCUUCGGGUUGUAAAGCACUUUCAGUGGUGAGGAAGGCCUGUAGUUUAAUACCCUCGUCGAUUGACGUUAGCCGCAGAAGAAGCACCGGCUAACUCCGUGCCAGCAGCCGCGGUAAUACGGAGGGUGCAAGCGUUAAUCGGAAUUACUGGGCGUAAAGCGCACGUAGGCGGCCUGUUAAGCCAGAUGUGAAAUCCCCGGGCUCAACCUGGGAACUGCAUUUCGAACUGGCGGGCUAGAGUCUUGUAGAGGGUGGUAGAAUUCCCGGUGUAGCGGUGAAAUGCGUAAAGAUCUGGAGGAAUACCCGUGGCCAAAAGCGGCCCCCUGGACUAAUACUGACCCUCAAGGGCCAAAGCGUGGGGAGCAAAACAGGAAUAAAUUACCCUGGUAGCCACCACUUAAACAAUGUCACUUUGAAGGUUGU